rfam:Salmo salar isolate Sally breed double haploid chromosome ssa27, whole genome shotgun sequence.
UGCAUACGCUACUGUAAGUCGCUCUGGAUAAGAGCAUCUGCUAAAUGACAAAAA